rnacentral:rRNA from 1 species
AGUGAACGCUGGCGGUAGGCCUAACACAUGCAAGUCGAACGGCAGCACAGGAGAGCUUGCUCUCUGGGUGGCGAGUGGCGGACGGGUGAGGAAUACAUCGGAAUCUGCCCAGUCGUGGGGGAUAACGUAGGGAAACUUACGCUAAUACCACAUACGACCUUCGGGUGAAAGAGGGGGAUCGCAAGACCUCUCGCGAUUGGAUGAGCCGAUGUCGGAUUAGCUAGUUGGCGGGGUAAUGGCCCACCAAGGCGACGAUCCGUAGCUGGUCUGAGAGGAUGAUCAGCCACACUGGAACUGAGACACGGUCCAGACUCCUACGGGAGGCAGCAGUGGGGAAUAUUGGACAAUGGGCGCAAGCCUGAUCCAGCCAUACCGCGUGGGUGAAGAAGGCCUUCGGGUUGUAAAGCCCUUUUGUUGGGAAAGAAAUCUUUCAGGCUAAUACCCUGGGAGGAUGACGGUACCCAAAGAAUAAGCACCGGCUAACUUCGUG